rnacentral:rRNA from 1 species
CUACGGGAUGCUGCAGUGGGGAAUAUUGCACAAUGGGCGCAAGCCUGAUGCAGCCAUGCCGCGUGUAUGAAGAAGGCCUUCGGGUUGUAAAGUACUUUCAGCGGGGAGGAAGGGAGUAAAGCUAAUACCUUUGCUCAUUGACGUUACCCGCAGAAGAAGCACCGGCUAACUCCGUGCCAGUAGCCGCGGUAAUACGGAGGGUGCAAGCGUUAAUCGGAAUUACUGGGCGUAAAGCGCACGCAGGCGGUUUGUUAAGUCAGAUGUGAAAUCCCCGGGCUCAACCUGGGAACGGCAUCUGAUACUGGCAAGCUUGAGUCUCGUAGAGGGGGGUAGAAUUCCAGGUGUAGCGGUGAAAUGCGUAGAGAUCUGGAGGAAUACCGGUGGCGAAGGCGGCCCCCUGGACGAAGACUGACGCUCAGGUGCGAAAGCGUGGGGAGCAAACAGGAUUAGAUACCCUAGUAGUC